UUUCCUCUCGUCCGUUCUGGUCGUCUCCCGGACCUCCCCGCCACCGCUGCACUGGACUGCUGCACGCCUGCACCGCUUCCUCUCCCUCGCCUCUUCCACCACCAUGGUGUCCUCUACGUCGUCAUCCCCGCACCAUCCUCCUCCUCCAUGGCAACGGCAGCAACGGACGAGGCGAGGAGGUGGUACGCGAGGCCAUGGCGAGGCGGCGGGCGAGCGUCAGGACGGCGACGAGAUUCUUGAGGUGGAUGAUUUAUUGGCUAGGAGAGCCGUCUCUGCUCUCCCAUUCCCGCGCCCCCUCCUCGACAUGGCGGCGCUGGAUCGAGGGUCUGCGGCGAUUCGAUGACCUAAGCGCGCAGCUGCGCUCGUGAGUUCCCCAUCCCGGUAAUCUCGCAGCUCGGAUUGAAUCCUACCGAGGUCGCCCGUCGUAAAGCAUCUCCUCCGUCCAGAUAUUUGGCAACCAACCUCAUCCAGGGAGGUCGAGCCAGAAGCACCAUGCUUGAUGAUGAUUCGUCGGGAGCUCGACUAUAGAGCGAAGCAGCAAACCAUGGAGGAUUUCGGGCUACUUGGGCAUUGAGCAGCAAGCCAUGUUGAACUGACAUGGAGUUUGGGAAAGGUCUGCAUCCAGGUGAAGGUGCUAAUCCUACAAUUAAAUGACCAUCCAACUUAGGUUUGGGUAGCAUGCAGGUGAUAGCUGCAGCAAAUCGUAUGGACAUUCACCAUCUUG